rfam:Streptomyces uncialis strain DCA2648 scaffold2, whole genome shotgun sequence.
CUUCAGCGAUCCCAGCCACAACGGCCGCUCCGCGCCCCGCUCCCGGCCGUAGGUCGCCAGCAGUGCCUGGGCCUC